rnacentral:rRNA from 1 species
AGUGAACGCUGGCGGUAGGCCUAACACAUGCAAGUCGAACGGCAGCACAGUAAGAGCUUGCUCUUACGGGUGGCGAGUGGCGGACGGGUGGGGAAUACAUCGGAAUCUUCUUUUUCGUGGGGGAUAACGUAGGGAAACUUACGCUAAUACCGCAUACGACCUACGGGUGAAAGCAGGGGAUCUUCGGACCUUGCGCGAUUGAAUGAGCCGAUGUCGGAUUAGCUAGUUGGCGGGGUAAAGGCCCACCAAGGCGACGAUCCGUAGCUGGUCUGAGAGGAUGAUCAGCCACACUGGAACUGAGACACGGUCCAGACUCCUACGGGAGGCAGCAGUGGGGAAUAUUGGACAAUGGGCGCAAGCCUGAUCCAGCCAUACCGCGUGGGUGAAGAAGGCCUUCGGGUUGUAAAGCCCUUUUGUUGGGAAAGAAAAGCAGCAGGUUAAUACCCCGCUGUUCUGACGGUACCCAAAGAAUAGGCACCGGCUAGCUUCGUG